CACGUAGGCACCAAGCGUUGUCCGGAUUUAUUGGGCGUAAAGAGCUCGUAGGCGGUUCGGUAAGUCGGGUGUGAAAACUUUGGGCUCAACCCAAAGCGUGCACUCGAUACUGCCGUGACUAGAGUUCGGUAGGGGAGUGGGGAAUUCCUAGUGUAGCGGUGAAAUGCGCAGAUAUUAGGAGGAACACCGGUGGCGAAGGCGCCACUCUGGGCCGAAACUGACGCUGAGGAGCGAAAGCGUGGGGAGCGAACAGG
rnacentral:rRNA from 1 species